AUCGCUUCUCGGCCUUUUGGCUAAGAUCAAGUGUAGUACUAGUUUAAAGCUGAAAGACCAUGGGGUUGCUGAUUGACUGGGCGACAUCAUGAAACAUUUGUUGUUUGCUUUGUUGUUGUUUUUAAAAAAAUCUCAUUGCCUCAUACAGACAACACUUUAAACAAUGAACCAAAA
ensembl:snRNA U2 U2 spliceosomal RNA